GAAAGUUGAUCGUACCAAAACGAAAUUCAAUUCAAUAUCACUGCUCUUUAUUGGACUUUUAAGCUUUUCUGGUUUCAAAAAAAAAUUAUGGCUUCUCGAAGGCGGAUGCUGCUCAAGGUCAUAAUCCUUGGCGAUAGUGGGGUGGGAAAGACAUCUCUGAUGAACCAGUAUGUGAAUCGCAAGUUUAGCAACCAAUACAAGGCCACAAUUGGAGCUGAUUUCUUGACAAAAGAAGUUCAGUUUGAGGAUAGGUUGUACACAUUACAGAUAUGGGAUACAGCUGGGCAGGAAAGGUUCCAAAGCCUUGGCGUGGCUUUCUACCGUGGAGCAGAUUGUUGUGUUCUAGUGUAUGAUGUGAAUGUCAUGAA
rnacentral:misc_RNA from 1 species